UAUCAUGAUGUGAUUGUGUA
rnacentral:siRNA from 1 species